UACGGAGGGGGCUAGCGUUGUUCGGAAUUACUGGGCGUAAAGCGCACGUAGGCGGCUUUGUAAGUUAGAGGUGAAAGCCCGGGGCUCAACUCCGGAAUUGCCUUUAAGACUGCAGAGCUAGCAGGUGAGAGAGGUGAGUGGAAUUCCGAGUGUAGAGGUGAAAUUCGUAGAUAUUCGGAAGAACACCAGUGGCGAAGGCGGCUCACUGGACCGUUGUUGACGCUGAGGUGCGAAAGCGUGGGGAGCAAACAGG
rnacentral:rRNA from 1 species